rnacentral:lncRNA from 1 species
AGAUUCUCAAAGCCUUUUCAAGAGCACUAGGGUUGCCAGUGCUAUCACUGUUUCUGGUGUGGGAAUGAUAGAGAAUUGCAAAUGUAUGAAAGAAUCAGUUAAAAAAAAAGACGUCUACUGUUCUUUCUCUCCCCCAUCUUCUUCCUCUUCCUUCCCCUCCCUGGUCUUUCUCCGUUUUUCUCCCUCUGUCAUAUGCCAGAUAGGCCAUUAUAGUAAGCCAGGGGAAAAUGGAUGCUAUAGAGGCCCCCUUUGCCACUUUGGAGUGUGAAGUUGACUCAGUUCAUUGGAUAUCAUAUGAACUAGUCUUUCCCAGCUAUUAGUUCCUGUGUAUGUGUACACAUGCACGCAUGCACACAACUUUCAGAAGAAACUACAGUGUCAUUUUUAAAUGUUUCACUGAAGAAAUAUUAAUAUCCAGGUACUAAUAAGCUGUACUGGGUGUUUUAUGUUUAUUUUUUUAUUUUUAUUUAUCUUAAAGGAUUUUAUAAUUUUAAAUUAUGUAUAUGUGGAUAUGUCUGUGUGUGAAUAAUGUGAACAUGAGUCCAGUGCCAGCCAGAGAGGACAUCAGAUAUUCUGGACCUGGAUUUCAGGCAGUUGUGAGCUGCCUAAUGUGGGUGCUGGGAACAGAACUCAGGUCCUCUGCUUGAGCAAUGAACUAUCUCGCAGCCCCAAGUAUCUUAUCUUUUAAAUUAGACUUAAUAACUGCAGUAUUGAGAACUAGGAUAUUUGAACUUUAAUAAGUAGGGGUGCAUAAAAGAGUUUUAUUUACUAUUUAAGAUUCCGUUGCUAUAGCACUCAUCAAUUAUCAGUAAUCUUACCAUCUUAUAAGAUUGUAAAAGGAAAUCAUUUGAUGUUGGACAUUCUAGUUAACAUCACAUCUUUAAUUAGAUCACGAAAUUUGAGCCAUUUAUUUAUUCAUUUAUUUGUUUGUUUGGGUUUGGGUUUUUCAAGACAGGGUUUCUUUCUCUGUGUAGCUUUGGCUGUCCUGUAACUCUUGCUGUAGGCCUGGCUGGCCUCAUACUCACAAAGAUGUGCCUAGAAUAUAGCCAGGAAUCAUGGGCAUAGCAGUUGUUUUGAUUCUGCUUAUACAAUUAGUUGCUAGGCAAAAAGACAUUUGGAAAGGUCUUACUGUUUUCAAGUAAUAACCUAAGAUGAAAAUUCAGUUUUGGCAGCUUUUAGCUAUCUAAAUCAGAUAUUAUAGCGUUUAUAACAAUGCUGAACUUGGUUUUCAUUAUAAUAAACAGAAAUAUAAAUAGAUACAUUAAAAUGUUCAUAAACAGAAAUCUCUAUGGCCAUUUGGCAUUUGGGCUAAACAUUGGUACCUUGGUACCUUUUAAUCUAUCUUUUGUAAGAUACAGAUAUUUGAUGUGAAAAAGCAAAAUAAACUAUAGCAAAAAAGUUUCAGAGGAAAGAUGGCUCUGGGGGUUGAAAGCUCUUCUAGAGGAUCUUAGUUGUGUUUUCAGCAACCAUAUUGGUGACUCACUGUAACUCUUUGUCUAGGGAUCCACACCCCUCUGGGCUUUGUGGGUAUUUACAUUCAACAUGCAUGUAGCUACAUACAGGCACACAAAUUUAAAAGGGGGUGGUGCUAAAGAGAUGGCUUGGUGAUUAAGAACACUUGCUGCUCUUCAGAGGACCUGGAUUCAUUCCUAGUACCACUGGCAUCUCAUAACUACCUUUACUCCAGUUCUGAGAGAAUCUGCUUUCUUCUUUUGGCCUAUGCAAAGCACUGCAUGCACAUUAUGUACAUAUGGAGAAGCAGGCACCCACACAUGCACAUGUUAAAAAAAUGUUUUUAAAUUGCCAGUUUAGAGCCAGGCUAGUGGUACAUGUCUGUAGUUAUAGUUACUCAGGAGGACAACGAAGAAGGGUGAUUGCUUCAUCCUAGGGCAGUAGUUCUCUUUCUUUCUUUCUUUCUUUCUUUCUUUCUUUCUUUCUUUCUUUCUUUCUUUCUUCCUUUCUUUCUUUCUUUCUUUCUUUAUUUAUUUUUAUUUAUAUAUUAUUCUAUGUAAGUACACUGUAAGACACUGUAGCUGUCUUCAGACACACCAGAAGAGGGCAUCAGAUCUCAUUGCAGAUGGUUGUGAGCCACCAUGUAGUUGCUGGGAUUGGAACUCAGGACCUCUGAAAGAGCUGUCAGUGCUCUUAACCACUGAGCCAUCUCUCCAGCCCGGCAGUAGUUCUCAAUCUUCCUAGUGCAGCAACCCUUUAAUACACUUACUUCUUCAUGUUGUAGUGACCCCCCCCAUAAAAUGUUUUUGUUGCCACUUCAUUACUAAAUUUGCUAAUGUUAUGAAUCAUAAUACAAAUAUCUGUGUUUUCUGAUGGUGACCUCUGUGAAAGAGUCAUUUGAUCCUAAAUGGGUUAUAACUCACAGGUUGAGAGAACUGCUUGGCUGGCCAGGAGUUUAGGGUUCACCUGUGCAGCAGUAAGAACCCAGGUUGAAAAAAAGUCUUCUUUCUUUCUAUCUAUCUAUCUAUCUAUCUAUCUAUCUAUCUAUCUAUCUAUCUAUCUAUCUAUCUAUCGUAUAUCAGUACACCAUUGCUCUCUUCAGAGACACCAGAAGAGGGCAUCAGAUCCCAUUAUAGAUGGUUGAUGAGCCACCAUGUGGUUGCUGGGAAUUAAUUGAACUCAGACCUCUGGAAGAGCAGUCGGUGCUCUUAACCGCUGAGCCAUCUCUCCAUCUCUCUCUCCAGCCCCGAAUUAAAAGUGUUUUUAAGUAGUUGGAUGUUGGUUGUUAUCAGGAAUUCAAAGCCAACCUCAAAAUGAGACUCAGAGAAAAUGCAAAGACGCCCAAGGAUGUAGCUCAGCUGUAAGAAGAGUACCUGUCUAGCAGUCUUGAAGCCAUGGAUUUGGUCCUCAGCACCUUAUGAACUGGGUGAAGUGGUAAUUAAUCUCAGUACUAGGGAGGUUAAGGCCCCUAGUUUUGAGGUUAUUUUCAGUUUGAGGCUGGCCUGUGGUAUGUGAGACUCCCAUUUCAAAAACAACAACCAGGCUGGUGAGAUGGUUCAGUGGGUAAGAGCACCCGACUGCUCUUCCAAAGGUUCAGAGUUCAAAUCCCAGCAACCACAUGGAGCCGUAACGAGAUCUAGCUCCCUCUUCUGGAGUGUCUGAAGACAGCUAUAGUGUACUUACAUAUAAUAAAUAAAUGAAUU